UGGGGAAUCUUGCACAACGGGCGAAAGCCUGAUGCAGCGACGCCGCGUGGGGGAUGAUGCAUUUCGGUGUGUAAACCCCUUUCGACCGGGAAGAAUAUCCGCCUUUGGCGGAGGUGACGGUACCGGUAGAAGAAGCCCCGGCUAACUACGUGCCAGCAGCCGCGGUAAGACGUAGGGGGCCAGCGUUGUUCGGAAUUACUGGGUGUAAAGGGUUCGUAGGCGGUGCGGCAAGUUGGGAGUGAAAUCUCUGGGCUCAACCCAGAGUCGGCUUCCAAAACUGCUGUGCUUGAGUGUGAGAGAGGCUCGUGGAAUUGCAGGUGUAGCGGUGAAAUGCGUAGAUAUCUGCAGGAACACCCGUGGCGAAAGCGGCGAGCUGGAUCACUACUGACGCUGAAGAACGAAAGCUAGGGGAGCAAACAGGAUUAGAUACCCUGGUAGUCCUAGCCCUAAACCAUCAGGACUUGGGGUGUGCCCUGUACGGGGCACGUCCCGUAGCUAACGCGUUAAGUCCUGCGCCUGGGGAGUACGGUCGCAAGGCUG
rnacentral:rRNA from 1 species